CACCCGUGUUUAUUGUACCUUGUUGCUUCGGUGCGCCCGCCUCACGGCCGCCGGGGGGCUUCUGCCCCCGGGCCCGCGCCCACCGAAGACACCAUUGAACUCUGUCUGAAGAUUGCAGUCUGAGCAUAAACUAAAUAAGUUAAAACUUUCAACAACGGAUCUCUUGGUUCCGGCAUCGAUGAAGAACGCAGCGAAAUGCGAUAACUAAUGUGAAUUGCAGAAUUCAGUGAAUCAUCGAGUCUUUGAACGCACAUUGCGCCCCCUGGUAUUCCGGGGGGCAUGCCUGUCCGAGCGUCAUUGCUGCCCUCAAGCACGGCUUGUGUGUUGGGCUCCGUCCCCCCGGGGACGGGCCCGAAAGGCAGCGGCGGCACCGAGUCCGGUCCUCGAGCGUAUGGGGCUUUGUCACCCGCUCUGUAGGCCCGGCCGGCGCCAGCCGACAACCCAUCAUCCUUUUCAGGUUGACCUCGGAUCAGGUAGGGAUACCCGCUGAACUUAAGCAU
rnacentral:rRNA from 1 species